rnacentral:lncRNA from 1 species
AAAAUAGGGAAAGAAGGUUCAAACAUUCAAGCAAACCCACAAUGUUUCCAUUCUGGUCUCUUUCAGAAAAGAGGCUCACUGCCGUCACCUGGGAAGGGUGAAAUAUUAAGAAACAUGACACCUACUUCUGUCAUGUGUGCCUGCAGUGAUCAUCCACAUUUAUGCCACUAUUCACCAAAGGUGACAGACUGGAAACUAAGGGACUGCUCAGGUGAAAGAUCUGCCAUGUCUUGCAUUGAACCACAGGCGAGCUCUAAUUCAUCUGGUGAAACCUGCUCUCAGAUACACAAGUACUGAGAAACUCAUGAGAUCAUAUUCAGAUACAAAAAGGAUCCCAGAACAUUUUCCCACAGCUCUUGGAAGCUUCUGUUCAUUUCAAGCCAGUGGCACUUUAAAUGGCCUACCCCUUCUAGGAAAAAAGAGAAGAUUUAAAUCAGAACAGGACCUGUUAUGCAAUACAACAUUGCAUUAACACAAACACAACUACUUAAGGUUUGGCAGCUUGUGAUUAAUACCAAGCCUAGUCCACCUCCCAGGAAAGAUAAUUUCCAAUUGAUUUCUAUGGGUUUUGGCUCAGGCCCACACUGCACAUGCUGUGGAUUGUUCUUCUCAUCCUAGGCUCUCAGAAGUAGUAAACAAAUAGGAAUGAACUCAGAAGGGGAAGAAGUGUCCCAGUUUCUCCCUAUUUUUGCAUGGGCCAAUUCUAUGGGACUAGGUAACUUCCUGGUAUCCUUUAAUUUGAGGUCUUUUUUACAGUUUUGAGAGUAGCA